rnacentral:other from 1 species
UUUUCCCUGCCGUGUUCGUUGGAUUCUUUGAUGAUUGUUGAACCAACACCAACAAAAUGGGGGCCUUAGUUCCUCUUACGCCUUGGCGUAAAAGGGCGGCACCCACGUGAGCCUUAUGGUUCAUAGCCAUCAAAUCCAACGGCACAGCGCGGGGAUUCU